rnacentral:rRNA from 1 species
AACGAACGCUGGCGGCAUGCCUAACACAUGCAAGUCGAACGAGACCUUCGGGUCUAGUGGCGCACGGGUGCGUAACGCGUGGGAAUCUGCCCUCUGGUACGGAAUAACUCAGGGAAACUUGAGCUAAUACCGUAUAAUGACUUCGGUCCAAAGAUUUAUCGCCUGAGGAUGAGCCCGCGUCGGAUUAGCUAGUUGGUGAGGUAAAAGCUCACCAAGGCGACGAUCCGUAGCUGGUCUGAGAGGAUGAUCAGCCACACUGGGACUGAGACACGGCCCAGACUCCUACGGGAGGCAGCAGUGGGGAAUAUUGGACAAUGGGCGAAAGCCUGAUCCAGCAAUGCCGCGUGAGUGAUGAAGGCCCUAGGGUUGUAAAGCUCUUUUACCCGGGAUGAUAAUGACAGUACCGGGAGAAUAAGCCCCGGCUAACUCCGUGCCAGCAGCCGCCGUAAUAC